AUCUUUACUAUUCAUUUGACAAUGUGUUAGUUGUAGUUUAGGUUUGUGACAAGUUAUAAUUGAACUUAUCACGUUAGCUGAGUUAUAUUCAUCACUUGGCUAGUGUUUAACGCCAACUACCCGAGAGGGCAAGUAGUAAGGAUAUGGUUAACAUGUACAAGGAGAAGUUUGGAGACAAACUCCACCUUGAUGAAAUAACUUCCAUCAUUUGUGUCUCAAAAGGAGAACAAGUGUUGGCGCUGAGAGGUUGUCACUCUUAAAAGAGAAGCUCUAUAAGUUUUGUAGGUG
rnacentral:lncRNA from 1 species